AUAUCAAUAAGCGGAGGAAAAGAAACCAACCGGGAUUGCCUCAGUAACGGCGAGUGAAGCGGCAAAAGCUCAAAUUUGAAAUCUGGCCUGUGGUCCGAAUUGUAAUUUGAAGAAGCGACUCUGGUACCGGCCCUUGUCUAUGUUCCUUGGAACAGGACGUCACAGAGGGUGAGAAUCCCGUGCGAUGGGGAGUCCGGAGCCAUGUAGAGCGUUUUCGACGAGUCGAGUUGUUUGGGAAUGCAGCUCUAAGUGGGUGGUAAAUUCCAUCUAAAGCUAAAUACAGGCGAGAGACCGAUAGCGAACAAGUACUGUGAAGGAAAGAUGAAAAGAACUUUGAAAAGAGAGUGAAAAAGUACGUGAAAUUGUUGAAAGGGAAGGGCUUGGGAUCAGACUUUGUAUUUCCAUGGCGUUCUCUCGGGAGCGUCCUCUGGGUUUACGGGGCCAGCAUGGGUUCUGCGGGCAAGACAAGGGGGACAGGAAUGUGGCUCUGCCUCGGCGGAGUGUUAUAGCCUGGCCUUUUCCGGUUGCCACGCGGGACUGAGGACUGCGAAUCUAGGAUGCUGGCAUAAUGAU
rnacentral:rRNA from 1 species